UGGGGAAUAUUGGACAAUGGGCGCAAGCCUGAUCCAGCAAUGCCGCGUGUGUGAAGAAGGCCUGCGGGUUGUAAAGCACUUUCAGUGGGGAAGAAAAGCGCAAGGUUAAUACCCUUGUGUCUUGACGUAACCUACAGAAGAAGCACCGGCUAACUCCGUGCCAGCAGCCGCGGUAAUACGGAGGGGGCUAGCGUUGUUCGGAAUUACUGGGCGUAAAGCGCGCGUAGGCGGACUUUCAAGUCAGGGGUGAAAUCCCGAGGCUCAACCUCGGAACUGCCUUUGAUACUGUAAGUCUUGAGUCCGAGAGAGGUGAGUGGAAUUCCUAGUGUAGAGGUGAAAUUCGUAGAUAUUAGGAAGAACACCAGUGGCGAAGUCGGCUCACUGGCUCGGUACUGACGCUGAGGUGCGAAAGCGUGGGGAGCAAACAGGAUUAGAUACCCGCGUAGUCC
rnacentral:rRNA from 1 species